CAAAAUAGAGCUUGUUUAGUUAAGCUAUUCAUUUACACUGAAAGGAAGCCGUGCGAUUCGGUUUAUUUUGA
rnacentral:tRNA from 1 species